AAAAAAUAUUUCGUUGCACAAACUAUCACCAAAUUGCCGUGUACACCACAUCAAUCCUUUAAAAGAAAUCUGAAAUCUCAUUUAAUCUUCUCAAAAGGACGUAGCAACGCGACCUUAAAUGGCAUUGUGUUGCCACAGCAACACGGCAUAGGAGAUGAAGGCACGUGCAUUGAUGUCGAGUUUUGGAAACCAUCGCUGGCAUUUGUGUUGGCAACAAAACGGCAUGCACAAAUACAAACACAUUUUGUGAGUGCAACAACAAUUGGAGGGGCUGCAAUAUUCACACAGGGGUAAAACAAUAGGUCAAACGGGUUUCCCAGUGAACUCACCUAUAGCGGGCAAUCCAUUCAACUUAACCUAACCAUCGAGACUGUGCCUUAAACAUUUCCAACAGUUUUAACAUACACAAAUUUUAUCUUGUUGCAACCAUGGAAACAUAGUAAUUGUUAUGGAUGAUUGCUUCUCCUCUUUUAUUUCGUCUUUCAUAGUUUCAUUUAAAUGUU
rnacentral:sRNA from 1 species